rnacentral:ncRNA from 1 species
UUGAAGGCUGUGAAAGGAAUAAGUAGUUUUUCCAUCACUGGUUGAAGAGAGCUGCCGGCAGGUGCGAGGCAGUCCAAAUGGAAAAAUGAAUUACAACCCGGAGCUUUUGACCCCUGCUUAUUUGUGGGCGGCACGGUGUGAACCGUUAUCUCAAGAGUUGGAGAAUUUAUUUUCUCAAGCUGGGUGGUACCGCGCGAUUACGUUUUGCGUCCCUGCA